CUUUUUAUGGUGUCUUAUAGCAUGUUUUAAGUGGCGUAGCGUUUUUGAAUGAUGUUUGUUUCACUGAAUACUAUGUUGCGAAUUUGUAUCAGUUCUACUGAGGAUUGCAGGCGAAAUUAGUUUUCCGUCUAUUUGAUCUUCAAUGAUUCGCUUGCUAAACUCGUGAUGGGAUAGAGUUUCACUGCCAUUCUAAACUACCUUGGCUUCAGAGCCAUUAACAGAACGAGCUUGGCACUCAAAUAAUGGAGACGAAAGGAGCAACUGCAAUUUCGUGUUAAUCUCAAUGUACCCACCAAAAGAGUUUUUCCACAGAUGAACUCUCGCCUGUGUAAAAGUGACUGUUCAAAAAUGCUAUUGCGAGAGUGGAAAGAUGAAUUUUCUGAAUCCUUAAAACGCCUCCUUUGAAAACGACUUCGAGUUUCCAUCUGCGAAGCUGGAAAUUUUCUAAUGGAUGUCGGAUGAAUUACGUUCAUGGAGCCUGAUUUAAUCACUUAGCAAAAGUAAACGAACCUUGCUAAAGAGAACAAGGGAUUUUCUAGUUCCUUGAAAUGGAUCCAAAGCUACCUGGAUACUCCAAGAUACACCUGGAUACCCGAAGGUCUGUACAGAAUAUUUGGAUUCAUACGACUUAACUUACUGCAACAGUCAGUUUUCUAAAUGUUUCGAACUGAUAACUUUAUUCCAUGAAUAUAAAAUUAGUGAUCCUGAGGUUUUAUCAAUAGAAAAGUAUAUUUUAUUUAUGCAAUUUGAUCUAUUGCCACAAGCUGAAAUAAUCGUCUUUGUGCCACUUUAUUGGGAACUUCAAUUACUAUCGUAAACCAAAUCUUAAAUAUCCUAUUCUAGAUUUAAAUGAAACGGACCUCAAAAAAAAUUUAAUUGUUUAAGGUUGAAUGUGUCGGAUCCACUUGUGUGCUAGCCUAUAAAUUUCGGUUCUCAUCGGUUGCAGACGCGCAUUUAUUUUAUCAAUAGUAUUAAAACGAAGGAGGUCAGAUUUGGCAUCAAUGCCAAGAAAUUUUGUUCUUUUCGUUUCAGACCUUGUGUUGAAACGCAAAGUAAUCACCGAUAUCUAUACUAAAGCUCCCGAGAAACUUGUGUUGCAAACAAUUAAACGGUUUUAAGUUCUUUAGAAAGACUCAAUCUCAAAUUCAGGGAAGCAAGAUUUCGUUCUUUUAAACAUUCCUGUAUCGCAAUUUCUAAUCUUAGUAUAUCAAAUGUUUGAAAAUUAGUCCCAAUAUUGGUUAAAAUUGCUAUAUACAAUUAUAGCAUGCCUUAAUGGAAGGAAAGAACGGUGUAGAACACCUGUCGCAUCUCAAUACCCCGAAAUUUUAAUUAGACUCGGUAAAAACAUUAAGAUUAUUUUGAGUGAAUUUACUCGGCACCUGCCUCGAAUACAACUAUUUAGGAGUCAUUUCCUCGUUUCUCAUUCUCAAGCGACUACGAAAUUAGUUUAGAAAAAUUUGGAUAUAGAAAAGUCUAGACGUAUUCCUUACGAGAACAUUUUUAAAGUUUCGAGCUGAGAUUCGUGCAAUUGCACUGAGACAUAAGGCUUUAUCUUCUGGCUUUACCCCCCCCCCCAAAUGUGAGCUUUUGAACUAUAAUUGGUUAGAUUUUUCUAAAAUGAACUUAAUCGCCAAAUUUGGACAAAAUGCAGGAAAUCUCCGUAUCUUAGUGUAAAUGACUUAACUAUACAGUUGCCAAUGUUACGGGUAGAAAUUGCACAUUUCAGGUUUUCUAAAGUGAAGGUUAGUUUUGGGAAGUGGUAGAUGGGUUAUAUUAACAUGUCGAGUAACAAGCCGGCCCCUGUUGACUUUCCGUUUAGGCAUCGUGGGACCGACGGCCUAAACGGUAAGUGUCGGUCCCCAGGGAUCCGGUACUUGACAUGUUAAUGGAGUGGGGAAGCUUCAAGUUUGGGGAAGUUUUUAAAACUGAGCUUAUGGGUUAUAAAAUGGUUAAGAACAUUUAAUGCAAUACAAUAGCUACUUAAAGGAGGGGGUCGAUAAAGGCUUGGAACCUGUAAAUGGCAAUUUGUACCACGAACAUUGGUAGCGAUUGUCGGAAUCUGAGAAUAGAUAGGUUCACGUGAAAGAUUACUGAAAUUUUUUAUGUAAGAAAUUUGAAUGAAAUUUUAGUUGUUUUCUAUCAUUAGCUGUAAUUGAUUCGUAAUUGUAAUAUUAGAGGAGACAGGAUUCGAAAUCGAGACUUAAAAUUUUUCACAUCCAUGAACUCGUGAAAUCUUUCUAGCAGACGAAUGACCUCAGUUUAAACUAUGGUCAGUACAGUAGUGUUUAUCGAUGAUUUUCUCUCCUAAACGUACGAGACUUAAACCAUUUAAUCACCAAAACGUUAACGUAAAAUUCUGAGAAGAAAUUUCCAAUGAAGUGGAACUAAAAUCCAUAUAAAGCAUUUUGAUGGCUCGCAUCAGUAACAUGGAAUUUAGCUGAAAAAUUAUUUGCACUUAUUUUGAUAACUUGCAAGAAACUCAGAAAAACGUUCUUUGAUUCUAAAUUUUAAACUAGUCUAUGAUCCCCAGUUGUAAUCCUAUUUUAAAAGAAGCCUCGUGCUAGAGCAGAAAUUGACAAGAGGUAGCCAUAUGCAUAAACGCGUCUUUUAGCAAAUGUAUCAAUUGUUCAGAAUAUAAAACGCGAAUAUGUAGGAAAAUUAUAGGAGAUUGAGUCUUUUAAACUACACUAAUUUGUAAUUAGUCGGUAGAAUUUUCUGGCAUUGCAAAAGUCGUUGCCUGUUUCAUUUGAAUCUAUUCUUAAUUGUUAAAACAUUAAAUUUUUGUCAUAAUUUAUUGGUAAACUUAAAAUCAAUUAUUUUUAAUUUCUUGAAUUUCUAAAUGCUUUUCAUGUUUCAUGAUAAUUUGCCAUUGUAGUUUGCAUUUUUAU